rnacentral:rRNA from 1 species
UACAGAGGGUGCACGCGUUACUCGGAAUUACUGGGCGUAAGGCGUGCGUAGGUGGUGAGUUAAGUCUGUCGUGAAAGCCCCGGGCUCAACCUGGGAAUGGCGAUGGAUACUGGCUCGCUAGAGUGCGGUAGAGGAGAGUGGAAUUCCCGGUGUAGCAGUGAAAUGCGUAGAGAUCGGGAGGAACAUCAGUUGCGAAGGCGGCUCUCUGGACCAGCACUGACACUGAGGCACGAAAGCGUGGGGAGCAAACAGG